GCCUGGGUGGCUCGGUUGGUUGAGCAUCAGACUUUGGCUCAGGUCAUGAUCUCACGGUCUGUGGGUUCGAGCCCCGCGUCGGGCU
rnacentral:tRNA from 1 species